GUCUAUGGCCGUACCACCCUGAACGUGCCCGAGCUUGUCUGAUCUUGGAAGCUAAGCAGGGUUGGGCCUGGUUAGUACUUGAAUGGGAGAAAUCUGAUACAAUAUAGG
rnacentral:rRNA from 1 species